rnacentral:rRNA from 1 species
CGGAGCCAUCCUUGGGAUACCACCCUUGUAGUACUGGGACUCUAACCAUAGGCCAUGAAUCUGGUCUUGGGACACUGUCAGGUGGGCAGUUUGACUGGGGCGGUCGCCUCCCAAAAGGUAACGGAGGCGCUCAAAGGUUCUCUCAGUACGGUCGGAAAUCGUACGUAGAGUGUAAAGGCAAAAGAGAGCUUGAUUGCAAGACAUACAGGUCGAGCAAGGAUGAAAAUCGGACUUAGUGAUCCGGUGGUUCUGCGUGGAAGGGCCAUCGCUCAACGGAUAAAAGCUACCCUGGGGAUAACAGGCUUAUCUCCCCCAAGAGUCCACAUCGACGGGGAGGUUUGGCACCUCGAUGUCGGCUCAUCACAUCCUGGGGCUGUAGUAGGUCCCAAGGGUUGGGCUGUUCGCCCAUUAAAGUGGUACGCGAGCUGGGUUCAGAACGUCGUGAGACAGUUCGGUCCCUAUCCGUCGCAGGCGUAGGAAAUUUGAGAAGACCUGUCCUUAGUACGAGAGGACCGGGAUGGACGUACCUCUGGUGUACCAGUUGUUCUGCCAAGGGCAUGGCUGGGUAGCUAUGUACGGAAUGGAUAAGCGCUGAAAGCAUCUAAGCGCGAAGCCAACU